GAAAGGACAACACGUUAAGAAAACGUGUUGCAAAACAUCACGCUCUGUCUUUUUCGUUAUGUUUAUUAAGAGACAGCAAACUUCCGAGGAAGCAAGAUCUCCGUGAACGGAACGAAGACAUACAAACACUUACAUAACAGUCAACAGCGAACUUCCGAGGAAGAAAGGACUCCGUGAACGGAACGAAGACACACAAACAUUUACAUAACAGUCAACAGCGAACUUCCGAGGAAGAAAGGACUCCGUGAACGGAACGAAGACACACAAACACUUACAUAACAGUCAACAGCGAACUUCCGAGGAAGAAAGGACUCCGUGAACGGAACGAAGACACACAAACACUUACAUAACAGUCAACAGCGAACUUCCGAGGAAGAAAGGACUCCGUGAACGGAACGAAGACACACAAACACUUACAUAACAGUCAACAGCGAACUUGCGAGGAAGCAAGGACUCCGUGAACGGAACGAAGACACGCAAACACUUACAUAACAGUCAACAGCGAACUUCCGAGGAAGAAAGGACUCCGUGAACGGAACGAAGACACGCAAACACUUACAUAACAGUCAACAGCGAACUUCCGAGGAAGAAAGGACUCCGUGAACGGAACGAAGACAUACAAACACUUACAUAACAAUCAACAGCGAACUUCCGAGGAAGAAAGGACUCCGUGAACAAAACGAAGACUCACAAUAACAGUCAGAGAAAAACCAUGAACAGGAUUAUCAUUUCUUGUGUGCUAGCCGUCAUUGUUGGCACAGACAUGCGCAAACAAACUCAUCAACUGGGGUGGCAACAAGUGAAACGACAAUCUUAAUAAAUUAUAGCCCUUCGAGUACCGAAACUGGGGCUACAAUAGAAACUCCAUCGAAGACUUACUUAACCAACAGGAUUAAUUCAACUAAACCAUCGAGCAGCGCAGAGAAAGCUGUGGCACAAGUCAUCACUCCAGCUAUCGUGGCUCUACUCGUUCAAAAAGUCAUUCAAUGAUGUAUUACAAAUAUAUAAACAUUGAUGCAAAAGAACAUUUUGUUAUAGAAAUCUAGUUUAAUGUAAUUCCUUAUAUAGCCGAGAUUAAA